GGUGAACGCUGGCGGCGUGCCUAACACAUGCAAGUCGAGCGGUGCAGUUUGAAGCUUCGGUGGAAAGCUGCAUAGCGGCGGACGGGUGAGGAAAACGUAGGAACGUGCCCCUUGGAGUUGGAUAGCCACGGGAAACUGUGGGUAAACCGACAUAGACUCGAGAGAGUAAAGGCCGAAAGGCGCCAAGGGAGCGGCCUGCGGCCCAUCAGGUAGUUGGUAGUGUAAAGGACUACCAAGCCGACGACGGGUAGCCGGUCUGAGAGGAUGGCCGGCCACAAGGGCACUGAGAGACGGGCCCUACUCCUACGGGAGGCAGCAGUGGGGGAUUUUGGACAAUGGGCGAAAGCCUGAUCCAGCGACGCCGCGUGGAGGACGAAGCCCUUCGGGUGUAAACUCCUUUCUCAGGAAAAGGAUGAUGGUACCUGAGGAAUAAGCCCCGGCUAACUACGUG
rnacentral:rRNA from 1 species